AUUUGAAGAAGGCGACUUUGUAGCUGGUCCUNGUCUAUGUUCCUUGGAACAGGACGUCAUAGAGGGUGAGAAUCCCGUGUGGCGAGGAUCCCAGUUAUUUGUAAAGUGCUUUCGACGAGUCGAGUUGUUUGGGAAUGCAGCUCUAAGUGGGUGGUAAAUUCCAUCUAAAGCUAAAUAUUGGCGAGAGACCGAUAGCGAACAAGUACAGUGAUGGAAAGAUGAAAAGAACUUUGAAAAGAGAGUGAAAAAGUACGUGAAAUUGUUGAAAGGGAAGGGCAUUUGAUCAGACAUGGCGUUUGCUUCGGCUUUCGCUGGGCCAGCAUCAGUUUUAGCGGUUGGAUAAAUCCUCGGGAAUGUGGCUCUGCUUCGGUAGAGUGUUAUAGCCCGUGGGAAUACAGCCAGCUGGGACUGAGGAUUGCGACUUUNGUCAAGGAUGC
rnacentral:rRNA from 1 species